GAUGAACGCUGGCGGCGUGCCUAAUACAUGCAAGUCGAGCGAAUGGAUUAAGAGCUUGCUCUUAUGAAGUUAGCGGCGGACGGGUGAGUAACACGUGAGUAACCUGCCCAUAAGACUGGGAUAACUCCGGGAAACCGGGGCUAAUACCGGAUAACAUUUUGAACCGCAUGGUUCGAAAUUGAAAGGCGGCUUCGGCUGUCACUUAUGGAUGGACCCGGGUCGCAUUAGCUAGUUGGUGAGGUAACGGCUCACCAAGGCAACGAUGCGUAGCCGACCUGAGAGGGUGAUCGGCCACACUGGGACUGAGACACGGCCCAGACUCCUACGGGAGGCAGCAGUAGGGAAUCUUCCGCAAUGGACGAAAGUCUGACGGAGCAACGCCGCGUGAGUGAUGAAGGCUUUCGGGUCGUAAAACUCUGUUGUUAGGGAAGAACAAGUGCUAGUUGAAUAAGCUGACACCUUGACGGUGCCUAACCAGAAAGCCACGGCUAACUACGUGCCAGCAGCCGCCGUAA
rnacentral:rRNA from 1 species